CUGUUGUGAAUUUUAGUGCAGUAAUCAGGGAUCUGAGAUUGUCUGCAUUUAUCGAAAUAAAAGCAAAAAAUGCAAAAAUAAAUAAAUCAAAUACAAUAAAUAAACAAAACCAGAAAUAAAGCUUCUAAAGGAAUCAUCCCUGAAUAUUUUCCAUGAUUGCCACCCCCCAGUGAGCCUACUAUAUUCUGCAGUGAAUAGUCCUUUGUACGAUUUAUAAAUGGUCAACAGAGUUGAAAGCAGUGAUGAUAAACUCUUCAACCAUUAAAUUGAUAGUGGUUUCACAUACAUAUUUGUUAACAAGCAAAGUUUUUAGUCUGGAUCCUAUCAUAAAAGCUGUUUAAUAGAUUUGUUGAGGCCAUUCAGACUCCUGUCUAUUCUAUCGCUGUCCGUAAUAAAUCAGUAAAGCACUUAAAAAAAAAAAAAAAAAAAAAAAAGCAGAAAUAAUCCUCAUAUUCGUGGGUAAGGACCUGGCUGCUCAUGUGAUAAGUACCCUCCUAAAAUCCUAAUGAUGCCGCUGGCACCAGAGAGCCACAUAAAGGAGCGUUUCAAAUGAAAAGCUUGUUUCUGCCGAGCAAGCCGCAAGCAGCCAGAGAGAAAGGAGGAGUGGAGGAACCUGAAGAGAACCUGGGGUAACACCAUCUCUCCUGGCUCUGAACUCUGCACUCGGCUUAAAUGCCGUCAAUUACUGGGAGAUAUACGGGCCGGCCUGUUUCAACCACUUUGCUGAGUCCCCUUUAGUUGCAGCCCACUCGGACUGUAAAUUAUCACCCCCCUCUAUCCGAGGUUUGGAGCAGUUUGGAGUCACCAGUGAGACCCUCCUCUGUUUCGGUCCGAAUCUAAAGGAAUUCCCUCCCUCUGUGUGCCAAACCCCAAACCAUUGCAAACGGAGUCUGUGAAGCAUGCAGCUGCACGCCCAUGUGGACACGCUCACUCGCAAACAUUGAUUUAAACACACACAAAUGCACACAAAUGUUCGUAUAUGCUAUAUAAAAUCCCCCGGAGCCAUAGAUCAUUGGGAACAGGUAGAGAGUUUAGCAUGCGCACACAGGCUGUAGAUCACUGAGGUGGGCAGGGACGUCAGCACUCUCAUACACAGUGAGCCUUAUUGCAGAGUUUAAUAGAGGAAACCCAGCAUGAAUCCCCACAGUCAUUCUGUUCCAGUCAAACACACCAUUCACAACACACUGGGCCAGUGUGUGCAUGUUAAUAGACACACAUACAGGAGUGAACAUACUGCACAUUAUGCGCUUCACUAUGCACUG
ensembl:lncRNA